rnacentral:tRNA from 1 species
AAUAAAGUGCCUGAAUAAAGGAUUAUUUUGAUGUAAUAAUUUAAGUAAAAUGAAAUUUACCUUUAUUG